AUGUUCGAGGCGUUCCUCCUCACGGCGAGAGCGAUCGUGCAGGCGGCGGAUUACCUCGCCGGAUUGGAGAGAACGGCGAAAGAGAUCAAGAUCAAGCGCCGGGCGCUCGCCCAGCGCGCAAAUGCCUUGGAAACAAUCCUGCGUUCAUACUGCGAGGCGGCCAGACACAACGCACCGAUGGCCGCCGCACUGGGCAGCUUCGGCGACGCCCUCCAGGACGCGCUCAGGCUUGUCAGGUCCUGCGGCCCCCAAAAUCAGAGCGGCGUCGUCGGCGGCUUGAUCUCUUUUCCUUACAGCAGCAGGAGGAACCUCGCCAUGCUCGCCCACGCUGAAGAGACGAUCGACAGACGCAACAAGGACUUAGAAGUCGCCCUUAAAGCUCCUGACCGCCGUCCUCAAACUGCCGUCGCGCCGGUAUCGCCGGUCAUCAACUACUACUACACCAUACACAACUAUGGCAACAUGGUGCUCCAGCAGCAUCAACCACGAGGAGGAGCCUCAAAUAGCGCUGUUCCCUCCUCGCAGUCACGUCCUCGUCCUGCGGUAGAGACAGGCUUUGCGCUGGCGAUAGGAGCCGCCUUGCAUAGGCAGCAACUCAGAGCGAGGCGUGCAGUCGAUCAGCCGCCUCCCCGACGGUAA
rnacentral:rRNA from 1 species